rnacentral:lncRNA from 1 species
UUGGUGUUGUUGGCGAGAUCAACAUGUAAUAUGGUACAGUGUGUAAUGGUCGUGCAUAAUAUAUCCCUAGAGAAUGUGUUGAUGUAAGGAAUGAUGGGGCAUGCUGUGGUGCUUGUGUAAAAUAAACUGGUGCUGAAUGUGUUGAUGUAGGGAAUGAUUGUGCAAUAAUGUGGUGGUUGUGUAAAAUAAACUGAAACUGAAG